rnacentral:rRNA from 1 species
UGGGAGCUUGCUCCCUGAUGUUAGCGGCGGACGGGUGAGUAACACGUGGGUAACCUGCCUGUAAGACUGGGAUAACUCCGGGAAACCGGGGCUAAUACCGGAUGGUUGUUUGAACCGCAUGGUUCAAACAUAAAAGGUGGCUUCGGCUACCACUUACAGAUGGACCCGCGGCGCAUUAGCUAGUUGGUGAGGUAACGGCUCACCAAGGCGACGAUGCGUAGCCGACCUGAGAGGGUGAUCGGCCACACUGGGACUGAGACACGGCCCAGACUCCUACGGGAGGCAGCAGUAGGGAAUCUUCCGCAAUGGACGAAAGUCUGACGGAGCAACGCCGCGUGAGUGAUGAAGGUUUUCGGAUCGUAAAGCUCUGUUGUUAGGGAAGAACAAGUACCGUUCGAAUAGGGCGGUACCUUGACGGUACCUAACCAGAAAGCCACGGCUAACUACGUGCCAGCAGCCGCGGUAAUACGUAGGUGGCAAGCGUUGUCCGGAAUUAUUGGGCGUAAAGGGCUCGCAGGCGGUUUCUUAAGUCUGAUGUGAAAGCCCCCGGCUCAACCGGGGAGGGUCAUUGGAAACUGGGGAACUUGAGUGCAGAAGAGGAGAGUGGAAUUCCACGUGUAGCGGUGAAAUGCGUAGAGAUGUGGAGGAACACCAGUGGCG